CCUACGGGAGGCAGCAGUGAGGAAUAUUGGUCAAUGGACGAGAGUCUGAACCAGCCAAGUAGCGUGAAGGAUGACUGCCCUAUGGGUUGUAAACUUCUUUUGUAUGGGAAUAAAAUGUUCCACGUGUGGGUUUUUGUAUGUACCUUAUGAAUAAGUAUCGGCUAACUCCGUGCCAGCAGCCGCGGUAAUACGGAGGAUCCGAGCGUUAUCCGGAUUUAUUGGGUUUAAAGGGAUCGUAGGGGGAUUGUUAAGUCAGUUGUUAAAGUUUGCGGCUUAACCGGCAAAUUGCAGUUGAAACUGGCAGUCUUGAGUACAGUAGAGGUGGGCGGAAUUCGUGGUGUAGCGGUGAAAUGCUUAGAUAUCACGAAGAACUCCGAUUGCGAAGGCAGCUCACUGGA
rnacentral:rRNA from 1 species